CAUCGGUGCUAGCGGUGAUGAGAUACGACCAGUAUUAAUGAAGGGAGAUCAACGAGAAUGCUUCCCUUAAUAAAUAGUGCAAAAAAUAAACAAAAUAAUAAAGAAAAAAAUACCCGAUGCGAGUGGUGUGUCUGCCCUCCACCAGGCGGCGCGAUCCCCUUCCCGACUUUUUUCCUUCUCUUUCCCUCUCCUCCUCGCUCAUCCUCCUCCGCUUUCCUUUGUUCCCAGAGGCCGGCCCCAGUGUGGUUUCCGUUGUGCUUGGGAGCAGUCGCGUAGUCGCCAGUGUCCAGCUCCUUCUUUGUUCUUUGUUCCGAAAUCGGUCUUCUUCUUCUUCGGACCCCGAACGUCGCCUCACGCUUCCUGCCUUCGUCAAAGGGCCUCCUUUCGUUCGACACAUUGGGCGCAAGAGCGAGUUGCACGGCUGGCCCUCCGUUUCAAGUGACCUCCUUCAGCUGCGGAUGACCUGUGCUUAAUCAAGACCGCUUGAAUGGCAACUGAGAACUUGCUCCAAGCAAAAAGUGUUUUUAUGAAAUCGUGUUAGCUCGUGCGAAUUCACUGAAUAGGAACAAGUGUGUUUUCAUCGAGACAGCUCGUCCGGAAACUUGCAUUGUCGGCCUAAUAAAGUUUGACGUCAAGCCUAAUAAAACGUGAGGUUAAAACGGAGAAA